rnacentral:tRNA from 1 species
GAGAAAACUCACAAGGACUGCUAAUCCACACCUCCAUGUUUAAAACCAUGGCUUUCUCA